GAUGAACGCUGGCGGCGUGCCUAAUACAUGCAAGUCGAGCGAACAGACGAGGAGCUUGCUCCUCUGACGUUAGCGGCGGACGGGUGAGUAACACGUGGAUAACCUACCUAUAAGACUGGGAUAACUUCGGGAAACCGGAGCUAAUACCGGAUAAUAUAUUGAACCGCAUGGUUCAAUAGUGAAAGACGGUUUUGCUGUCACUUAUAGAUGGAUCCGCGCCGCAUUAGCUAGUUGGUAAGGUAACGGCUUACCAAGGCGACGAUGCGUAGCCGACCUGAGAGGGUGAUCGGCCACACUGGAACUGAGACACGGUCCAGACUCCUACGGGAGGCAGCAGUAGGGAAUCUUCCGCAAUGGGCGAAAGCCUGACGGAGCAACGCCGCGUGGGUGAUGAAGGUCUUCGGAUCGUAAAACGCUGUUAUUAGGGAAGAACAAAUGUGUAAGUAACUAUGCACGUCUUGACGGUACCUAAUCAGAAAGCCACGGCUAACUACGU
rnacentral:rRNA from 1 species